GACGAACGCUGGCGGCGUGCUUAACACAUGCGAGUCGAACGAUGACGACCGAGCUUGCUCGGUCUGAUUAGUGGCGAACGGGUGAGUAACACGUGAGCAACCUGCCCUUCACUCUGGGAUAACCUCGGGAAAUCGGGGCUAAUACCGGAUAUGAGCUCCUGUCGCAUGGCGGGUGUUGGAAAGUUUUUCGGUGAAGGAUGGGCUCGCGGCCUAUCAGUUUGUUGGUGAGGUAGUGGCUCACCAAGGCGAUGACGGGUAGCCGGCCUGAGAGGGCGACCGGCCACACUGGGACUGAGACACGGCCCAGACUCCUACGGGAGGCAGCAGUGGGGAAUAUUACACAAUGGGCGAAAGCCUGAUGCAGCGACGCCGCGUGAGGGAUGACGGCCUUCGGGUUGUAAACCUCUUUCAGCAGGGAAGAAGCGAAAGUGACGGUACCUGCAGAAGAAGCGCCGGCUAACUACGUG
rnacentral:rRNA from 1 species